rnacentral:rRNA from 1 species
GGAAAGGCGCGCGAUACAGGGUGACAGCCCCGUACACAAAAAUGCACAUGCUGUGAGCUCGAUGAGUAGGGCGGGACACGUGGUAUCCUGUCUGAAUAUGGGGGGACCAUCCUCCAAGGCUAAAUACUCCUGACUGACCGAUAGUGAACCAGUACCGUGAGGGAAAGGCGAAAAGAACCCCGGCGAGGGGAGUGAAAAAGAACCUGAAACCGUGUACGUACAAGCAGUGGGAGCACGCUUAGGCGUGUGACUGCGUACCUUUUGUAUAAUGGGUCAGCGACUUAUAUUCUGUAGCAAGGUUAACCGAAUAGGGGAGCCGAAGGGAAACCGAGUCUUAACUGGGCGUUAAGUUGCAGGGUAUAGACCCGAAACCCGGUGAUCUAGCCAUGGGCAGGUUGAAGGUUGGGUAACACUAACUGGAGGACCGAACCGACUAAUGUUGAAAAAUUAGCGGAUGACUUGUGGCUGGGGGUGAAAGGCCAAUCAAACCGGGAGAUAGCUGGUUCUCCCCGAAAGCUAUUUAGGUAGCGCCUCGUGAAUUCAUCUCCGGGGGUAGAGCACUGUUUCGGCAAGGGGGUCAUCCCGACUUACCAACCCGAUGCAAACUGCGAAUACCGGAGAAUGUUAUCACGGGAGACACACGGCGGGUGCUAACGUCCGUCGUGAAGAGGGAAACAACCCAGACCGCCAGCUAAGGUCCCAAAGUCAUGGUUAAGUGGGAAACGAUGUGGGAAGGCCCAGACAG